GCCACCAUGCUUCCCGCCAUGAUGAGAAUGGACUGAACCUCUGAAACCAUGUCUACAGGUACUGAGAAGUUAUAGAUGCACCUCUAGGAUGGAAAGGUGAAUGUAUCAAAAGAAAAUUUAUCAGGAAAGGACCUAAUGGGAAAGACUGCCUGGAAAGUCCCUGCACAGUUUGCCUAAGGAGAGUCAUGAAGGAGAUGGGCUCCACAGAGUCAACAGAGAGAUGAACAACCAGUAAGAGGCUGCAUCGUGAGUACUUCAUGUCUUGAAAAGCAUUGCGCUGAGCCUUCAUUACCAGCCACUCAAUGUCUGACUUUGGGUACGGCAUUUCCUUCCCUGAGCUUUGGUGGGCCAAGUGAGGAGGUUUGGACUCAGCCAUCUCUGAUGACCCUAGGAUAUUCAGACCGCCUUUAAAGGAAGGAGUUAAAAUGCACAAGAAUCCUGUGAGGUGUUUGGUCAGGGCUUUGUGAGCAUAACUAACAGCAAUGGAGAGGCUACGGAAGUAGCCAUGUUUAAGUGAGUCACAAAGGUGUGGUCCUGCCGCCCGAUUCCAUGAUUAGUGGCCUCACAAAGAGAUGCAGAGAUCUCUCUCCCUCGGCUCUCAUCACCAUCUCUGGAAACUGCAAAGAACAGUCCUUAUGAAAAUCCAAACUGGCCAGUACCUGGAUUCUGAACUUACACCUGGGGAGCUGUGAGAUAAUACACAUCUGUGUUUAAGCCCUGUGGUCAGCUUUCAGCUCUGUACAACACUGAGAAGCUUCUUGCAUGCAUUGUCUGGAAGGGAAAGAAACCUGUUUCUGCCAUUGCUUGGCUGUGUGACCUUGGCCAUAUCCUUCACCACUGUGAGGCUGUACAUUGUCAUCUGCCCAGUGGAAAUAAUGGUUGCCUACUUGCCGUCUUGAAUGCAGUAAGAACUAAGGGGCUAACAUUGUCUUCCAUAGCCUAAUCACAUCAUCUCCCACUGAAAAAAUAUCCACAACAGAUGAAUGGAUGGAGAAAAUAUCGUAUAUAUGCUUGUGGAUUGGGAACAUUAAUGCUGUGAAAAUGACUAUCUUAAAAGUGGCACGCAGUCAAUACAAUUCCCAUAAAAAUUAUAACAUCAUCCUUUGUAGAAGCAGAAAAAAAUCUUAAAAUCCAUUUGGAAACACAAGACCUUGGAUAGUUCAGUCUUAAGGGAAAAAAUACUAUUAGAGGUACCACCAUACCCGAUUUGAAGUUAUAUUACAUGGCCACAGGAUAAAAAACAAAACAAAACAGUAUUAUGCUGACACAAAGGCAGAAGCAGAGAUCAGUUAAUAAGACAGAAAGUCCAGAUAAAAACCUGCAUAGCUUCAGCCUCCUGAUUUUUGAUAAAGACACCAAAAACACACACUUGAGAAAGAGGGUUGUAUAGUGGCAUCUUGCCUUGCCAGUGAACUUGUGGUGGUGGCCACACCCUUUGGGUGUGGUUUCAGGUACAGAUGUGACCCAUUAUAAGGUAGAGGAGGGGCGGGCUCCCACUCUCUUGGGUUGCAGAGAGCAUCAGGAGGGCAAAGACUGCAUCUUCUGGAGCAGGAAGACCGUGGCGGUUAUUUGCUCUUAUCUGAGUAAGUAACUCCCUAAUAAAUACCUAUUUAUCGAUUA